CUCUCUUCUGCUUCCUUGUGAAACGUUGCAGCCUUAUUCUUCAUCCUCUGUGCAUACUCUGCUUUCUUCUUCUCCUAUGCUUCCUUGUAAACAGAGACAAGUUAUAAGAAAACAAUGUUAGCCAAAUUUAAACGGCAAAAACUUUAAUUGGUAAAGAAUAGAAAUCAAUGGAGCUUAGAGAUCCUCAAGAGGGUGUCGAUAUCGUUGAACCACUUCACUUUUGAAAUCACUCUUAGUAGUGGUAUCUACAUCUUUUGUCCUUUC